rnacentral:rRNA from 1 species
GAUGAACGCUGGCGGCGUGCCUAAUACAUGCAAGUCGAGCGAACAGAUAAGGAGCUUGCUCCUUUGACGUUAGCGGCGGACGGGUGAGUAACACGUGGGUAACCUACCUAUAAGACUGGAAUAACUCCGGGAAACCGGGGCUAAUGCCGGAUAACAUGUUGAACCGCAUGGUUCUACAGUGAAAGGCGGCUUUGCUGUCACUUAUAGAUGGACCCGCGCCGUAUUAGCUAGUUGGUGAGGUAACGGCUCACCAAGGCAACGAUACGUAGCCGACCUGAGGGGGUGAGCGGCCACCCUGGAACUGAGACACGGUCCAGACUCCUACGGGAGGCAGCAGUAGGGAAUCUUCCGCAAUGGGCGAAAGCCUGACGGAGCAACGCCGCGUGAGUGAUGAAGGUCUUCGGAUCGUAAAACUCUGUUAUUAGGGAAGAACAAAUGCGUAAGUAACUGUGCGCGUCUUGACGGUACCUAAUCAGAAAGCCACGGCUAACUACGU